CGUUGAAGCACCGCUUCCUGUAUAAUCACCCAAGUUAAGCAACGUUGAGCCUGGUCAGUACCAAGGUGGGUGACCGCUUUGGAAUACCAGGUGCUAUAA